AGUGAACGCUGGCGGCAGGCCUAACACAUGCAAGUCGAACGGCAGCACAGAGGAGCUUGCUCCUUGGGUGGCGAGUGGCGGACGGGUGAGGAAUGCGUCGGAAUCUGCCUAUUUGUGGGGGAUAACGUAGGGAAACUUACGCUAAUACCGCAUACGACCUACGGGUGAAAGUGGGGGACCUUCGGGCCUCACGCAGAUAGAUGAGCCGACGCCGGAUUAGCUAGUUGGCGGGGUAAAGGCCCACCAAGGCGACGAUCCGUAGCUGGUCUGAGAGGAUGAUCAGCCACACUGGGGCGGGGACACGGCCCAGACUACUACGGGAGGCAGCAGUGGGGAAUAUUGGACAAUGGGCGAAAGCCUGAUCCAGCCAUGCCGCGUGUGUGAAGAAGGCCUUCGGGUUGUAAAGCACUUUUGUCCGGAAAGAAAUCCAAUCGAUUAAUACUCGGUUGGCAUGACGGUACCGGAAGAAUAAGCACCGGCUAACUUCGUGCCAGCCGCCGCCGUAACAC
rnacentral:rRNA from 1 species